rnacentral:rRNA from 1 species
UACGAAGGGGGCUAGCGUUGCUCGGAAUCACUGGGCGUAAAGCGCACGUAGGCGGCUUUCUAAGUCAGGGGUGAAAUCCUGGAGCUCAACUCCAGAACUGCCUUUGAUACUGGAGAGCUUGAGUCCGGAAGAGGUGAGUGGAACUCCGAGUGUAGAGGUGAAAUUCGUAGAUAUUCGGAGGAACACCAGUGGCGAAGGCGGCUCACUGGUCCGGUACUGACGCUGAGGUGCGAAAGCGUGGGGAGCAAACAGG